CCCUUAGAUGUUCUGGGCCGCACGCGUGCUACACUGAGUGGAUCAGCGGGUCAGGUUGCGCGAAAGCGUUUCCUAAUCUUGAAAUCCGCUCGUGAUGGGGAUUGACGGUUGCAAUUUUCCGUCAUGAACGAGGAAUACCUUGUAAGCGCGGGUCAUCAUCCCGCGCUGAAUACGUCCCUGCCCUUUGUACACACCGCCCGUCGCUCCUACCGAUUGAGUGGUCCGGUGAGGCUUUGGGAUCUGAGCAAAGAGAGCGUUUCGCUCGUUUUGCCCGGAAAACUCAGUCGAACCUUAUCAUUUAGAGGAAGGAGAAGUCGUAACA
rnacentral:rRNA from 1 species